AUAAACAAUGGAUCGGAAUACGGAGCCCAUAAGAAAAUCCAUGCAUAUAUGAAACGUGCUUGAAACAGAGGUUUCUCUGCAGUUCAGUUGGGGGAAAAGACGGACUAUACAAUAAGUAGUACUGAGAGAACUGAGUAUUCAUAUGAGAAUCAGAGAAAAUUAGAAUCCCAUCGCAAACCACAUGUAAAACUUAACUCUGGAUGCAUUCAGAAUAGUUGAUUGCGUGUUGGCCAAUGAAAGGAGAUUCAAGGACAACCACAGGAGCAGAGGGAGAUGAUUUCUGGAGGAAGAAAGAGGCUGAACAGAAAGACACAGAAGAGGAAAGUGGAAAAACAAAACUUCUAGGCCCUCCUGCAAACAGGCAACGUGGGGGGGGGG